rnacentral:lncRNA from 1 species
CGAAGCAGGUGCUGGCGGCGAAGCUGGCCUACCACUUCAGCUUCCUCAACCCGUCGCCUGCGCAGCUGAAGGAGCUCACCGACCUGGUGGACCACUUUGCUGCGCGCUCCAUGCACGCUGAGGACGCCAGCCUGGUGUCGCACGGGAACCCGCUCCUGCUGCCAAAGCGGGAAACGGCAUGUCUGCCGUACAAGGACGGGGGUGUCAACCACGUCGACCUGCCUGCGUUCCUGUCUGCCCUGCAAGCUAAGACUUUCGCCCUCCUUGCCCAGCCAGGCCGGCAACCCUGGAAGAUGCUCACC